rnacentral:rRNA from 1 species
CCUACGGGCGGCUGCAGUGAGGAAUAUUGGUCAAUGGGCGCGAGCCUGAACCAGCCAAGUAGCGUGAAGGAUGACUGCCCUACGGGGUGUAAACUUCUUUUAUAAAGGAAUAAAGUGAGGCACGUGUGCCUUUUUGUAUGUACUUUAUGAAUAAGGAUCGGCUAACUCCGUGCCAGCAGCCGCGGUAAUACGGAGGAUCCGAGCGUUAUCCGGAUUUGUUGGGUUUAACGGGAGCGUAGAGGGGUUGUUAAGUCAGUUGUGAAAGUUUGCGGCUCAACCGUAAAAGUGCAAUUGAUACUGGCAGCCUUGAGUACAGUUGAGGUAGGCGGACUUCGUGUUGUCGCGGU